rnacentral:rRNA from 1 species
UACGUAGGGUGCAAGCGUUAAUCGGAAUUACUGGGCGUAAAGCGAGCGCAGGCGGUUAUGUAAGACAGAUGUGAAAUCCCCGGGCUCAACCUGGGAACUGCAUUUGUGACUGCAUGGCUAGAGUGUGUCAGAGGGGGGUGGAAUUCCACGUGUAGCAGUGAAAUGCGUAGAGAUGUGGAGGAACACCGAUGGCGAAGGCAGCCCCCUGGGAUAACACUGACGCUCAGGCUCGAAAGCGUGGGGAGCAAACAGG